rnacentral:rRNA from 2 species
GGUCAAGUGAAGAAGCGCAUACGGUGGAUGCCUUGGCAGUCA